rnacentral:rRNA from 1 species
GAGCACCUGCCUUUGGUGGUGGGGGAGUAGCCGGGCUAACGCCCGGGUAAUACCGCAUACGGUUGCCGAGGGGAGUCCUUUGGCAAAGAAACCUCCGGGGCACAGAGAGGGGCUCGCGGCCUAUCAGCUAGUUGGUGAGGUAAUGGCUCACCAAGGCGACGACGGGUAGCUGGUCUGAGAGGAUGGCCAGCCACAUUGGGACUGAGAUACGGCCCAG